rnacentral:snRNA from 1 species
GUGCUCACUUUGGCAGCACAUAUACUAAAGUUGGAACGACACAGAGAAGAUUAGCAUGGCCCCUGCGCAAGGAUUCUCACUUGAGUCCUUAAUGGCUUAA